rnacentral:rRNA from 1 species
CUACGGGACGCAGCAGUGGGGAAUAUUGGACAAUGGGCGCAAGCCUGAUCCAGCCAUGCCGCGUGAGUGAUGAAGGCCUUAGGGUUGUAAAGCUCUUUUGGCGGGGACGAUAAUGACGGUACCCGCAGAAUAAGCCCCGGCUAACUUCGUGCCAGCAGCCGCGGUAAUACGAAGGGGGCUAGCGUUGUUCGGAAUCACUGGGCGUAAAGCGCACGUAGGCGGACUUUCAAGUCAGAGGUGAAAUCCCGGGGCUCAACCUCGGAACUGCCUUUGAUACUGUUGGUCUUGAGUCCGGAAGAGGUGGGUGGAAUUCCUAGUGUAGAGGUGAAAUUCGUAGAUAUUAGGAAGAACACCAGUGGCGAAGGCGGCCCACUGGUCCGGUACUGACGCUGAGGUGCGAAAGCGUGGGGAGCAAACAGGAUUAGAUACCCCCGUAGUC